GCUCCUAUAGCUCAGUCGGUAGAGCGUGCGGCUGUUAAGCAGCGGAACCGCAAGGUCGGCAGUUCAAGCCUGUCUGGGAGCG
rfam:Volvox carteri f. nagariensis unplaced genomic scaffold VOLCAscaffold_40, whole genome shotgun sequence.